rnacentral:rRNA from 1 species
UGGGGAAUAUUGCACAAUGGGCGCAAGCCUGAUGCAGCGACGCCGCGUGAGGGAUGACGGCCUUCGGGUUGUAAACCUCUUUCAGCAGGGAAGAAGCGUGAGUGACGGUACCUGCAGAAGAAGCACCGGCUAACUACGUGCCAGCAGCCGCGGUAAUACGUAGGGUGCGAGCGUUGUCCGGAAUUAUUGGGCGUAAAGAGCUUGUAGGCGGUUUGUCGCGUCUGCUGUGAAAAUCCGGGGCUCAACCCCGGACUUGCAGUGGGUACGGGCAGACUAGAGUGUGGUAGGGGAGACUGGAAUUCCUGGUGUAGCGGUGGAAUGCGCAGAUAUCAGGAGGAACACCGAUGGCGAAGGCAGGUCUCUGGGCCACUACUGACGCUGAGAAGCGAAAGCAUGGGGAGCGAACAGG